AAUGAACGUUGGCGGCGUGGAUUAGGCAUGCAAGUCGAGCGGGAGUAGCAAUACUCUAGCGGCGGAAGGGACAGGAAAGCGUAGAUUACGUACCCUCGGGUCCGGAAUAGCUGCGGGAAACUGCAGGUAAUGCCGGAUAACAUCUUCGGAUCAAAGGUGUGAUUCCGCCCGUGGAGCGGUCUACGUCCUAUUAGUUAGUUGGUGGGGUAAUGGCCUACCAAGACUUUGAUGGGUAGCGGGUGUGAGAGCAUGACCCGCGUCACUGGGACUGAGACACUGCCCAGACACCUACGGGUGGCUGCAGUCGAGAAUCUUCGGCAAUGGGCGAAAGCCUGACCGAGCGACGCCGCGUGCGGGAUGAAGGCCUUCGGGUUGUAAACCGCUGUCAAUGGGGAGGAAGGCUGUGUGAAGAGCACAGUUUGACCUAUCUUUGGAGGAAGGACGGGCUAAGUUCGUGCCAGCCGCCGCCGUAAAAC
rnacentral:rRNA from 1 species